UAAAGCUCCUUCGACGAGUCGAGUAGUUUGGGAAUGCUGCUCAAAAUGGGAGGUAUAUUUCUUCUAAAGCUAAAUACCGGCCAGAGACCGAUAGCGCACAAGUAGAGUGAUCGAAAGAUGAAAAGCACUUUGAAAAGAGGGUUAAACAGCACGUGAAAUUGUUAAAAGGGAAGCGCUUGUGACCAGACUUGCGUCCGGUGAAUCACCCAGCUCUCGCGGCUGGGGCACUUCGCCGGCUCAGGCCAGCAUCAGCUCGCUGUCGGGGACAAAAGCUUCAGGAACGUAGCUCUCUUCGGGGAGUGUUAUAGCCUGUUGCAUAAUACCCUUCGGCGGGCUGAGGUACGCGCUCCGCAAGGAUGCUGGCAUAAUGGUCAUCAGCGACCCGUCUUGAAACACGGACCAAGGAGUCAACCUUAUGUGCGAGUGUUCGGGUGUCAAACCCCUACGCGUAAUGAAAGUGAACGCAGGUGAGAGCUUCGGCGCAUCAUCG
rnacentral:rRNA from 1 species